CCUACGGGAGGCAGCAGUGGGAAAUAUUGGACAAUGGGGGGAACCCUGAUCCAGCCAUGCCGCGUGUGUGAAGAAGGCCCUCGGGUUGUAAAGCACUUUCAGUGAGGAAGAACGCCUGGUGGUUAAUACCCAUCAGGAAAGACAUCACUCACAGAAGAAGCACCGGCUAACUCCGUGCCAGCAGCCGCGGUAAUACGGAGGGUGCGAGCGUUAAUCGGAAUUACUGGGCGUAAAGCGCGCGUAGGUGGCUUGAUAAGCCGGUUGUGAAAGCCCCGGGCUCAACCUGGGAACGGCAUCCGGAACUGUCAAGCUAGAGUGCAGGAGAGGAAGGUAGAAUUCCCGGUGUAGCGGUGAAAUGCGUAGAGAUCGGGAGGAAUACCAGUGGCGAAGGCGGCCUUCUGGACUGACACUGACACUGAGGUGCGAAAGCGUGGGUAGCAAACAGGAUUAGAUACCCGGGUAGUC
rnacentral:rRNA from 1 species